CUUUGUAUUUCCCUAGAGAGAUACACACUGGAAAAACUCCUUUAACAUCUUGCUUUACAGCUUAUGUUGUCUGUGAAGGAGAAGUGAAUCACAUGAUUGGAAUUUGAUGACCUUUGGUUCAUGGACUUUGCUUGGGUAGAGCUGGUCUGUUGAAACCCUGCAGGGAUUCCAAGUGCAGCCUUUCCCUCAUUCUGUCUCUCUCCUCCCCAGUGUGGCCAAGAACAUUGUGGCUGUGCUGUAGACCCACAUGUAGGCUGUCCCUGGAUCUGGACUUGGAUGGGUCAGGACAGGUCUCAACAGUUACCAGCGAAACUGCACUGGACAGCAGCCUUCCUAAAGGAAACUUUCCCACCUCUAUAAUGAAGAAAAGCAGGAGUGUGAUGGCCGUGACUGCAGAUGAUAAUGUUAAAGAUUAUUUUGAAUGUAGCCUGAGUAAAUCCUACAGUUCUUCCAGUAACACACUUGGGAUCGACCUGUGGCGAGGGAGGAGGUGUUGCUCGGGGAACUUGCAGCUACCACCGCUGUCUCAGCGACAGAGUGACAGGGCGCGGACCCCCGAGGGAGACGGCCUCCCCAGGCCCACCACGCUGCCUCUGAACACACUUCCCAGCAUCGCCAUCACCACUGCGAGCCAGGAAGGUGCUGGAAGAAGGAAGCUGGAGAUACCAGUGUUCGUCACUUCCCACUCCCACAAGGAAGGCUACAGAGAGAGAGUGGGCUGGAUGUUACAGUUCUUUGCUGCAUUAAGAAAUUAAAAUGACAGGUGACAGUUCUCUUUUAUAAACCAGACGUCUACGAGGGAAGGGGGAAGAGUUGCUUGCUAUGGUUAUAUUUUUAAUAAGAAAAUGCUGAGGUACAGAGUGUUGGAAAAUAGAGUAAGAGGUUGAGUGAAAGCUGGGAAAGAAUGGAGCUGCAUUUCUAGCACAGCACACAAAUGCGAUCUCCUAGUGUUUGAGACAUUGUUAGAAGCAUUUUAAAGAAGCAGUUUUACUCAGGAAAUAAAGCUUUGAUCAGGGAGAGCCCGGGUAGGAAAGAACAUGUAGUCGGGCUUCAUCUGUAGGGAGGACGGUAAGGGCCAUUGUGUAAGGUCCUUGGGGAGUCAAAUCUGAACCCGAAGUUCUAGGUAAGUGCAGGAAGAAGAGAAAGAACUAGGAGAAGCUUGCUUACUCAGUGAUUUUGUUCAAAAUCUUAUGCAUCAGGUCUUCUUAACUGAAUGCCCCCCUUUUUAAUAAAAGAGGAAAACUUUUCAGCCAAUAUUUUCUGUAAUUGGCAAGAUUAGGAGUGAAUAGGAGCUGGAUGUGUCCCGAAAAGAUUUCUUGUUGGAUGGAGUAAUCCUUCUCUCUAGAACUGACCUAUGUAAUAUGCUGUAAACAGGAGGAGUGUGGUAGUUAUUUCUUAGGCAAGCAUGCUUACCGAGGUGGCUUAGAGAUCACAAUGGCCUAAAGAUAAGCUCCUGGCUUAAUCCCAGUAUUUCACUAACAUACUAUCUAGCAUGAUUUGUUUUUAGUAGUUGGGGGUCUAGAUUUAUUUCAUACCCUCUAAUGCUCACAGAUGUACAAACACAUGUUCUCACCCCCAGUAGUCAAAGAACUAUCUUUAUGCUGGAAUGGCUCUCGACACUGAUUUGCAUGUUUCCUCCAAAGCCAUAAGUUAUUAAUACGGUGUCUGUCAUUUCUUAUCACUGUGGCUUACUGACUUCUCUCUUUCUUUUGCCCU
ensembl:lincRNA